AGCCAUGCAGUGAGCACAAAGCGAACUAUUCUUUUGCCUUUUACUAAAGAAUACUGUGUGCUUGUUGCUUCAAGUGGCAUACCUCUAUUUUUGUAAGGUGGUCUCCU
rnacentral:snRNA from 1 species